CAGGUGUCAUUUAGAAUGAUGACAGUUAGAACAGUACAAUACACCAGGUGUCAUUUAGAAUGAUGACAGUACAAUACACCAGGUGUCAUUUAGAAUGAUGACAGUA